GGGUAGCUCAGUUGGUAGCAGCAUGUGCUUCGCACGCACAAGGUCAGGAGUUCGAUUCUCUUCUCGUCC
rnacentral:tRNA from 1 species